rnacentral:rRNA from 1 species
AUUGAACGCUGGCGGCAGGCCUAACACAUGCAAGUCGAGCGGAGCGGAGGACGGGCGAGUAAUGCCUAGGAAUCUGCCCGGUAGUGGGGGAUAACGUCCGGAAACGGGCGCUAAUACCGCAUACUAUCAGAUGAGCCUAGGUCGGAUUAGCUAGUUGGUGGGGUAAAGGCCUACCAAGGCGACGAUCCAUAACUGGUCUGAGAGGAUGAUCAGUCACACUGGAACUGAGACACGGUCCAGACUCCUACGGGAGGCAGCAGUAGGGAAUCUUGGGCAAUGGGCGAAAGCCUGACCCAGCCAAGCCGCGUGUGUGAAGAAGGUCUUCGGAUUGUAAAGCACUUUAAGUUGGGAGGCGUUACCAACAGAAUAAGCACCGGCUAACUUCGUGCCAGCAGCCGCGGUAAUUC